rnacentral:rRNA from 1 species
AUUGAACGCUGGCGGCAGGCCUAACACAUGCAAGUCGAGCGGAUGAAGGGAGCUUGCUCCUGGAUUCAGCGGCGGACGGGUGAGUAAUGCCUAGGAAUCUGCCUGGUAGUGGGGGAUAACGUCCGGAAACGGGCGCUAAUACCGCAUACGUCCUGAGGGAGAAAGUGGGGGAUCUUCGGUCCUCACGCUAUCGGAUGAGCCUAGGUCGGAUUAGCUAGUUGGUGGGGUAAAGGCCUACCAAGGCGACGAUCCGUAACUGGUCUGAGAGGAUGAUCAGUCACACUGGAACUGAGACACGGUCCAGACUCCUACGGGAGGCAGCAGUGGGGAAUAUUGGACAAUGGGCGAAAGCCUGAUCCAGCCAUGCCGCGUGUGUGAAGAAGGUCUUCGGAUUGUAAAGCACUUUAAGUUGGGAGGAAGGGCAGUAAGUUAAUACCUUGCUGUUUUGACGUUACCAACAGAAUAAGCACCGGCUAACUUCGUG